rnacentral:miRNA from 1 species
CUCCAGAUGUUGCUGAACUACAACUCUCAUGAUUCUAUGAAUGACAUAGGCUGAGAAUCAUGGGAGUUGUAGUUCAGCAACAUCUGGAG